GACGAAGGGGGCUAGCGUUGUUCGGAAUUACUGGGCGUAAAGCGCGUGUAGGCGGUUAUCCAAGUCGGGUGUGAAAGCCUUGAGCUCAACUCAAGAAAUGCACUCGGUACUGGGUGACUAGAGGACCGGAGAGGAUAGUGGAAUUCCCAGUGUAGUGGUGAAAUACGUAGAGAUUGGGAAGAACACCAGUGGCGAAGGCGGCUAUCUGGACGGUUUCUGACGCUAAGACGCGCAAGCGUGGGGAGCAAACAGG
rnacentral:rRNA from 1 species